GACAACGCUGGCGGCGUGCUUAACACAUGCAAGUCGAACGGACGAGUGAGAUAAGUUUACUUAACUCACAAGUUAGUGGCGGACGGGUGAGUAACACGUGGAUAAUCUACCUGCAACACCGGGAUAACGCUGUGAAAACGGUGCUAAUACCGGAUACGUUCCCUUGUGCGCAUGUAUGAGGGAAGAAAGCUCAGGCGGUUGCAGAUGAGUCCGCGGCUGAUUAGCUAGUUGGUGAGGUAAAGGCUCACCAAGGCGAUGAUCAGUAGCCGGCCUGAGAGGGUGAACGGCCACACUGGGACUGAGACACGGCCCAGACUCCUACGGGAGGCAGCAGUGGGGAAUCUUCCGCAAUGGGCGCAAGCCUGACGGAGCAACGCCGCGUGGGUGAAGAAGGCCUUCGGGUUGUAAAGCCCUGUCUUAUGGGAAGAAGUCAGUGACGGUACCAUAGGAGGAAGCCACGGCUAACUACGUG
rnacentral:rRNA from 1 species